rnacentral:hammerhead_ribozyme from 1 species
GUGCAAGUGACGAGUCUCAAAUAGGACGAAACGCGCGUCCUGGAU